GUAGGGAAUCUUCGGCAAUGGACGAAAGUCUGACCGAGCAACGCCGCGUGAGUGAAGAAGGUUUUCGGAUCGUAAAGCUCUGUUGUAAGUCAAGAACGUGUGUGAGAGUGGAAAGUUCACACAGUGACGGUAGCUUACCAGAAAGGGACGGCUAACUACGUGCCAGCAGCCGCGGUAAUACGUAGGUCCCGAGCGUUGUCCGGAUUUAUUGGGCGUAAAGGGAGCGCAGGCGGUCAGGAAAGUCUGGAGUAAAAGGCUAUGGCUCAACCAUAGUGUGCUCUGGAAACUGUCUGACUUGAGUGCAGAAGGGGAGAGUGGAAUUCCAUGUGUAGCGGUGAAAUGCGUAGAUAUAUGGAGGAACACCAGUGGCGAAAGCGGCUCUCUGGUCUGUCACUGACGCUGAGGCUCGAAAGCGUGGGUAGUGAACAGGAUUAGAUACCCUGGUAGUCCACGCCGUAAACGAUGAGUGCUAGGUGUUAGGCCCUUUCCGGGGCUUGGUGCCGGAGCUAACGCAAUAAGCACUCCGCCUGGGGAGUACGACCGCAAGGUUG
rnacentral:rRNA from 1 species